GUCUACGGCCAUACCACCCUGAACGCGCCCGAUCUCGUCUGAUCUCGGAAGCUAAGCAGGGUCGGGCCUGGUUAAUACUUGGAUGGGAGACCGCCUGGGAAUACCGGGUGCUGUAGGCU
rnacentral:rRNA from 1 species